UACAGAGGUCUCAAGCGUUGUUCGGAUUCAUUGGGCGUAAAGGGUGCGUAGGCGGUCCGAUAAGUCGGCUGUGAAAGUCAAGGGCUCAACCCUUGAAAGCCGGCCGAUACUGUCGGACUGAGAGUCCGGAAGAGGCGAGUGGAAUUCCGAGGUGUAGCGGUGAAAUGCGUAGAUAUCUGGAGGAACACCGGUGGCGAAGGCGGCAUCCUGGACCAACACUGACGCUGAGUGAGCGAAAGCCAGGGGAGCAAAGCG
rnacentral:rRNA from 1 species